UUAGUGGGAUUCUAAUGGGUACAGAGCCAAAACAUUAGCAGAGCUGAACACAGAGGAGCUUUGCCAGUGGUUUAGUAAUAUUGGUCUACAGAAAUGCCUGCCCUUCAUUAGAGAUGAGUUCUCCCCUAAGCAGCAGAUUGGAGAUUUGCCUGGCUCAGAGACGAGCCUAAUGGAGCUUCACUUAUGUAGGAAGAUAUUCAGAGAAAAGAUCUGAAAAACAACACCAGGAAGAUUCAAGAGCUAAAUCAACAGAUGGCCUCCCUUCAAAACAUCAUCAUAAGUAAAUACAUCCUUUUUCUUUCACCAUUGUUAAUAAACACUAGGGCUGGAUGUCACACAGGAAAGAUUAAUUCUUUUGAAUUUUGUCAUAAAACUUAUAUUUUAGUAUUGUGUCUACUUUUCAGGCAUGUCAUCACAGGGUUUGUGUGUGUUCAAUGAACUGCAUCUUUUUGCAAGGGUAAUAACAGUGGAAAUGUUGAAUAUCGCUUUUUUCUUUUCUUUUCUCUUUUUUUUUUUUUUUUUUUUGUAGCCAACAUUUAGAGGUAUGUUCUACCACAGAAAUAGACUUGCAAAAAUAAACCUGCCCUGAGGGGAAAAAAGUGUGACAAAUAAGCUUGUUCUCCACUAUUGCUUUUAGUUGAUCUGUGUAUGAUAACCAGGUUCAGGAGCUUUACCAUGGCCUAGCCUUCUGCUCAGAGCUGAAGAAGAUGGAAGGCAAGAUGGAUGCAGUGCAGAAG